UGCCCAAUGGUGUAAUGGUAGCAUCCCAGAUUCUGGCUCUGAUAGUUCGGGUUCGAGUCCUGAUUGGGCAA
rnacentral:tRNA from 1 species